UUCCUGGCGGUCCAGUGGUUAGGACUCGGUGCUCACACUGCCGAGGGCCCGGGUUCAAUUCCUGGUCAGGGAA